CGGGCACUUAAAAGUAGCAACUUUGUUCUCCAGUCAAAUGAAAAUGAAAUUAUUUCGAUACCCCAGUAAACUAUGUUUACUGGAGAUACCUGAACUGGGGAAAUGGUUCAUGAUUAAGGCACUUCCUGUAUGAGUAGAAAGCGCAUCGGAGGGAAAGGGAAUAACACUCGAAAUGUAUAUAAGAAAUACUCAAGUUAAUAAAAAAUAAAAAAAAAAAAGAAAGCGCAUCGGGCAGUCUCCACAGAACAUAUCUACUUGUGGGAUAGAUGUGGUGGCCUGUUUACAAUCCAGCCUCUAAAGGCAAAGACAAGAUUCCUAGAGUAAGAUGUCUAGCAAGACUAACCUUUCAGCUAGCUGUGGGUUUGACCUAGAAACCUGCCUGUAAUAGAAUACUGUGUUUAAGUUCAUGACCAAGGCAGGUUACAGACGGAAGAGUUUGAGUUUGUGGUUUUAGAGGAAUAAGAGCUCAUGAUGGUGGGACACAGGCAUGGCAGCAAGUUUAGAGGCUGAGAGCUCACCUCUUGAACCCCCAGCACAAAAUAGAGAACGAAGACUGAAAAUGCCAUGGAGUUUUUAAACUCCCAAAGCUCUUUCCAAAGAGUCACCAAACGAGGACCAAGUAUUCAAAUAUUUGAGCCUAUGGGGGACAUUCUCAUUCAAAUCACCACUACAUUAAUAAAUAAGAUGAGAGAGAAAUUAAAUAAGAAUCAUAUAUCGCUCUGGUUUUUCACGAGUACAGACCCAAGAAGGAGAAACAGAAAGAUACAUGACUUGCCUCCUAAAGACAGUGAGCUUAUCUUUGGUGGACCUGGUCAUCAGUGGGAAACCAGAUUGAUCAUCGUUUUCACUUGCUGCUUGACUCAGAUGUGUGUUUUUUCCUUAUGAGAGCAAGGCUGAAAUGGUGACUCAGUGAAGGGAUCCACAGCUCACUGAACAAUGAAGAAUCACUCAAAGGCUCCAAACUGCCUCUCCUGGUCACUCUUCUAUGCUAAAUACCUGGGACACACAACCCAAACAGAUGUCCACCCACUCCGGUUAGUCUUACCUCCAAAAGGAGAGCUCUGUGGGCUUCCGGAGGAAGAGUCAUAUUCUUGAAGACACACAGCAUCUCAGUGGCUGAGUUGGGGUUUGUCUAUUUGACCCCCUGGG
rnacentral:lncRNA from 1 species